GUCCACGCCGUAAACGAUGUCAACUAGCCGUUUGGUCUAUUUAUAGACUUAGUGGCGCAGCUAACGCAUUAAGUUGACCGCCUGGGGAGUACUGCCGCAAGGUUAAAACUCAAAUGAAUUGACGGGGGCCCGCACAAGCGGUGGAGCAUGUGGUUUAAUUCGAUGCAACGCGAAGAACCUUACCUACCCUUGACAUCCAGAGAAUCUGUGAGAGAUCGUAGAGUGCCUUCGGGAACUCUGAGACAGGUGCUGCAUGGCUGUCGU
rnacentral:rRNA from 1 species